rnacentral:misc_RNA from 1 species
AAAAUUUAUGGAUUUCAUUUCAUAAACCCAAUCUGUGUAUUUGUCCUUGUUGCUUCCGCAAGCUUGAUACUUAUCAUCAACCCUCACCUGCGAGGGAGUUUGCGGAAGGAUUCCUCAUUACCUGCCUUAUUCGUAUUGUCUGAAAUCUUGAAUUGCAAUUGUUA